rnacentral:ncRNA from 1 species
AGCAGCGGUGCCCCGCGAGGGGUGAAAAGGGAACAUGGGCACCUGAACAUUUUAGGGUGAACCCGGCUGAGCCCGCAACUGUGAGUGGAUAGUGACAACCUUCAUCAAUGCCACUGGUGUAACUGGGAAGGCAGAGGGAUCACAGAGACCCACGAGCCAGGAGACCUGCCGCGGCAA